GGAUGUGAGGCUGAUCUGGCUGCGACAUCUGUCACCCCAUUGAUCGCCAGGGUUGAUUCGGCUGAUCUGGCUGGCUAGGCAGGUGUCCCCUUCCUCCCUCACCGCUCCAUGUGCGUCCCUCCUGAAGCUGCGCGCUCGGUAGAAGAGGACGACAUCCCAGGUAUAGAAGGAGUGUACCGAGGUCUCCAGUCUUCGGUCCCGGGUAUGGAUGUG
rnacentral:snRNA from 1 species